GCUGUGGCUCAGUGGCAGAGCACUUGCCUAGAAUGUGCGUGCGAGGCACUGGGUUCGAUUCUCAGCACUGCA
rnacentral:tRNA from 1 species